rnacentral:lncRNA from 1 species
AGUCGGACAAAACUGAGUGACUGAACUUAUCGCCCCUCUACUCAGUGAGUGGCCAGCCCCUCCUUUCUGGAAUGGCAGAUUGUUGUUGUCCUUGUUUAGUCCUUAAGUCCUGUCUGACUCUGUGCGACACCCCCGUCCCACCCCCCCCCCUUCCCCUUGGAUUGCAGCCCUUCAGGCUCCUCUGUCCAUGGGAUUCUCCAGGCAAGAAUAAUCGGAGUGGGUUGCCAUGCCCUCCUCCUCCAGGGGUUCUUCCCGACCCAGGGAUCGAACCCCUGUCUCCACAAUUGGUAGUCCGAUUCUUUACCGGCUGAGCUACCAAGGAAAACACAUAUUUCUAAUUACUCAGUAACACUACCAAGAACUACAAACUCUCAGAAUCCUGCACUAAAAUUAGCCUCAUGUUUCCCCAAUCUCAAAUCCUCUCGAAAUUGUUCUUUUCCCGCUCCGGAAAACUGCCCUUCUUCCUCAAGCAGUACCACCACCGCUUUCCCCAAACUACGAAGUUUGGAGUUCUCCUCACAGCCCAAAUGCCGCCUGAAACAUGAAUCCGAGUCCUGACGCUGGAAGACCGCACGCAGUCCUGUCGCCGUCCGCGGCGCUAUCCACGUCCGCCGUGCGCGCUGCGGCCAGUCCAGGGCGGCGCCGGAACCCCAGAACCCGCGGCGGGGGCGCGCCCGGAACCAGGAAGGGCCUGGACCCGGGAGUCCCAAGUCCUGAAGGCCUGGGAGUCAGAAGCCGAGAACUCAGGGGCGCCAGCGCCCGAGUGGGCCGGAGCCUCAGGCAGGAUGACUGUGGGAAUCUUCGCAAACUGUACCUUCUGUUUGAAAGUCAAGCACUUAACUCGUCAACAGAAGAGAAAACUACAAACUGAUAUUAAGGAAAAUGGUGGAAAUUUUUCCUUUUUAUUAAAUGCUCAGUGCACACAUGUAAUCUUAGACAAUGCUGAUGUUCUGAGCCAGUAUCAGCUGAAGUCUAUUCAGAAGAACCAUAUUCUUAUUGCAAACCCAGAUUUUGUAUGGGAAUCUAUCAAAGAAAGGAGACUGCUGGAUACAAAGAUUUAUGGUCCCAGUGAGUCACUGGACAUCACAUCAGCUUCCAAAGAAGAAUGGAGCAGCUCUAGAAUGGAAAUGAAUGAUUCUUCAUUGCUGGACAGUUCCACAGAAGGGGAGAACACUGUUGAACUCACUAAGUUUUAUGCAGAGGAUGUUGAAAUUCCUCAUUUUCCUCAAGAUUUUGAAGUUGCAAAAUAUAACAUCUUGGAAAAAGUUGUGACAGAGGGAGGUAAGGAGACCGCUGUGGUGGAGCUGCAUUGCCUCCAGGGCCCUGGGGAGCGUGGCUUUCUGAUAUGCACACACUUCCUCCUGGCCACCAGCACCCAGACCAGGAAGCAGUCCUCUGUGAAGAAAACUUCUGCAGACGCAAGUGAAUACUAUGAGAAUUAUAUUGAGGAACUGAAGAAACAAGGCUUUCUACUGAGAGAACAUUUUACACCCGAAGCAACCCAGUUAGCAUCUGAAAAACUGCAAGCAUUGCUUUUGGAGGAGGUAAUAAACUCAAAUUCCCUGAGCCCGGAGGUGAGCGGCUUGGUGGAGAUGCUCUGGACAGAAGCCCUCGGCCGCCUGGAGGACACGCUGCUGAGACCCGUGGGCAUGAUAAGCCUGAAUGACGUGAGCAAGGCAGAGGGAAUUCUCCUCCUGGUAAAGCAAGCAAUGAGAAAUGGAGAAACACAGGAGCAACUGCAAACGUUGCUGACCGAGUUCUACAGAUUAAUCCCUCACAGAGCUGCUGUGGCUGAGAAGGUCAGCCUGAGCCUGCUGGCCAAGAAGGAGGACCUGUGCCAGCUAAUAAGAGACAUGGUUAAUGUCUGUGAAACUAAUUUGGCCAAACCCAACCCACCGUCUCUUGCCAAAUACCGAGCUUUGAGAUGCAAAAUUGAGCAUGUUGAACCGAACACUGAAGAAUUUUUGAGAGUAAGAGAAGAGGUGCUGCAGAAUAAUCACAGUAAGAGUCCAGUGGACAUCUUGCAGAUAUUUAGAGUUGGCAGAGUGAGUGAAACCACAGAGUUCCAGGGCCACCUUGGCAAUGUCAGGCACUUGCUGCAUGGGUCUCCUGUGCAGAGCUUCAUGGGAAUCCUGUCCCGUGGGUUGCUUUUACCCAAAGUAGUUGAAGAUCGUGGCAUGAAGAGAACAGACAUUGGAAAUCUUGGGAGUGGGAUAUAUUUCAGCAAUUCACUCAGUACAAGCAUCAAGUACUCGCACCCUGGACAGACAGAUGGCACCCGACUCCUGGUCGUCUGUGAUGUCGCCCUUGGCAGGUGCAUGGACCUGCACAAGCGAGACUUCUCCCUGACAGAGGCACCGCCUGAGUACAACAGCGUCCAUGGGGUGCGGGGAACGGAUAUGGUCAGCUCGGACUUUGAGGAUGACGAAUUUGUUGUAUACAAAACCAAUCAGGUUAAAAUGAAAUAUAUUGUUAAAUUUUCUGUACCUGGAGAUGAAAUAAAGGACUUUAACCCUUGUGAUAAUACGGAAUUAGAGGAAGACAGGCCUGAGUUUUCAAAUUUUUCAGCAGUUGAAGAUCACCAGCUUCCAGGCAGCAUGCCUUUCCCCGACAUCAAGGCCGGCCUCCAGGAUGGCUCUGGAAAUUCAGUUCCUCUGGAGGAUGUUCAUAUCAAGGGGAAAAUAAUAGACUUUGUAGCCCAGGUCGUUGUUUUUCAAACAUACACAAACCAAAGUAAUGUGCCCAUUGAGGCAAAAUACGUUUUUCCCUUGGACGACAAGGCAGCUGUGUGUGGUUUCGAGGCAUUCAUCAAUGGGAAGCACGUGGUGGGAGAGAUUAAAGAGAAGGAAGCAGCCCAGCGAGAGUACCGAGUGGCGAUCAGUCAAGGCCACGGCGCCUACCUGAUGGAUCAGGACACCCCCGACAUCUUCACUGUCAGCAUCGGGAACUUACCCCCGAAGGCCAAAGUCCUGAUCAAAAUCACCUACAUCACGGAGCUGAGCAUCCAGGGUGCCUGUGCGGUCUUCUUCCUGCCAGCCACCGUGGCACCUUGGCAGCAGGACAGGGCUCUGAAGGAGAACCUUCAGGAUACAGUGGAGAAGAUUUGUAUAAAGGAAAUAGGAACAAAGCAAAGCUUUUCUCUGAGCAUGUCUAUCGAGAUGCCGCACAUGAUUGAAUUCAUCUUCAGUGAUACACACGACCUGAGAAAAAAGAGAACAGACUGCAAAGCUGUGAUUAGUACUGUGGAAGGCAGCUCCUUAGACAGCAAUGGAUUUUCUCUCCUCAUCGGUUUGGUUGAUGUGUAUCUCCCAAGAAUGUGGGUUGAAAAGCAUCCAGAAAAAGAAAGCGAGGCCUGCAUGCUUGUGUUUCAACCAAAUCUUGGUAUUACCGUCCCUGACGAAGCUGAGAGGAGUGAAGUGAUUAUUUGUCUUGAUUGCUCCAAUUCCAUGGAGGGCGAGACAUUCCUGCAAGCAAAGCAGAUUGCCUUACACGCACUGUCCUGUGUGGGAAAGGAGCAGAAGGUGAACAUCGUCAAGUUUGGCACAGGUUACAAGGAAUUAUUUUCAUAUCCUAAGUGCAUCACGAACAAUAAUAUGCCCACAGAGUUCAUCAUGUCUGCCACACCUACCAUGGGAAACACAGAUUUCUGGAAGACACUUCGAUACUUAAGUUUGCUGUACCCUUCCCACGUGUUACGGAACAUCCUCCUCAUAUCCGACGGGCACCUCCAGAACGAGAGCCUGACCUUGCAGCUCGUAAGAAGAAGCGUGCCACACACCAGGCUGUUCUCCUGUGGGGUCAGUUCUACAGCUAAUCGUCAUGUCUUACGGACUCUGUCCCACUAUGGUGCUGGAGUAUUUGAAUAUUUUAACUCAAAAUCCAAACAUAGCUGGAAAAAACAGAUAGAAGCCCAGAUGGACAGGCUGAGUUCUCCCAGUUGCCACUCUGUCUCCGUCAAAUGGCAGCAGCUGAGCACAGACGCGCCCGCACCCCUGCAGGCCCCCGCACAAGUGCAGUCCCUGUUUCACAGCGAGCGACUCCUUGUCUACGGGCUCACUCCUCACUGUACACAGGCAACUCUACAUGCGCUAAUUCAAGAGAGAGAAUAUUCUGCAGUGGUGUCAACUACUGAACUUCAGAAGACAACUGGAACGAUGAUUCACAAGCUGGCAGCGCGAGCUCUGAUCAGAGAUUACGAAGAUGGCAUUCUCCACGAAAAUGAAGUGAAUCACGAGAUGAAGAAGCAAACCUUAAAAUCUCUGAUUAUUAAACUCAGUAAAGAAAACUCUCUCAUAACACAAUUUACAAGCUUUGUGGCUGUGGAGAAAAGGGAUGGUAAUGAGUCACCUUCUCCUGAUAUUCCAAAUACUUUGGAACUUAUUGCCAAAGAAGACAUAGAUUUUCUGCCAUACAUGAGCUGGGAGGGGGAACAACCAGAUGCCAGCAGGAUGCAAACACUUUCAGCAUCCUCUGAAUGGAACCAAGAACCCAAACGUAAAUGUAAACGUAAAUGGACUAAAAAGAAGCAUUCAUCACUUAAGAUGAAACUUUCUGAAGAUUUUGAAGCCUUUAGCUUAGAUGCCCCAGAAGAAUCUGAAGCAGUCAGUUUUGUCUUCAUGGAUGCAGAGGAGCUCUGGGAUUUGGGUCCGAUUAAGUCAUCUAAACAAACAGAAGUUAAACCACAAUUCACAGAAGCCAUCUCACAGAAAAUGGCCGUUUCCAACAUUCCUACUGUCCCUAGUUUCUUAACUGCACCCCUCUAUGUUGGCUCUGCUUUCCACCAUCAUCCCAGCUCAGCACUGUUUGAUUCUCCAGCUGGUCCCAAACACUUCGGUUCCCCUAAGAAGUACCUGGAGAUGGGCAGUGGUGCCGACGUUUCCCUGGACAUGGCGUCUUUUCCCAGGCUGCAUCUCCAGGGCUCAUCUUUGCAACUUGCUGCUGCUCCCAGAGCCUUCUUUAGCCCCAGGUCACAGCUGCCCAAAACUGAUCAAGGGGGUGCCACAGGCUUCGGUGCCCUCACUGCCCUUCAGCUGGACCCCCUCCCGCGGCCGCAUCUUUUUUCCCGUCCUUCUGCAGGUCUUCUCCCUUGUCCACUUGUGAAGUCUGUCCUUUCUUCCCAUGCCUCUCCUCCCUCCCUACCCAGGGGUGUUGUUCCCCCUCCUCCCCCUCUACCUCGGGGGGUUGGUGUUCCCCCUCCUUCCCCACUUCCCCCUCUAACUGGGGGAAUUGUUCCCCCUCCUCCCCUUCUACCUGGGGGGGAUGGUGUUCCUCCUCCUCCUCCUCUUCCCCCUCUAACUGGGGGAAUUGUUCCCCCUCCUCCCCUUCUAUUUCAGGGGGUUGGCAUUCCUCCUCCCCCUCCUCCCUCUCUACCUGGGUGGAGUGGUGUUCCUCCUUCUCCCCCUCUUCCCUCUCUAUCUGGGGGAAUUGUUCCCCUUCCUCCCCCUCUAUCUCAGGGGGUUGGUAUUCCUCCUCCCUCUCCUCCCCCUCUUUCCUCUCCUCUUCCUUCUCACCAUAUCCCAUCUCCUAGGAGUGCCAAUUAUAAGCUGCCAGUGGCUCCAUCUGGCCUUGCUGAAGAUGCCCAGCUGGACAGUCCUCUGUUAGCUGGGUAUGAUGAACCUUUGUCAUUAGACUCCUUCCAAUAUGAUUGUUCAUUUUUUGAAUGUUCUUCUGAAAUGGAAAGUGAUGAAACAGGAGGACUUCUGGCGAGUAGGAUUUUUAAAAAGCUGGCAGAAUAUGACCUGGGAAGUGGCUUUACUGCAAGCACUCAGGCACAAAAUGAUGAGAAUGGCCUAGCUGGCAAAACAAGCUGGAGGAAUUAUGUGCCUUCGACUGAACUCUUCAGGCUUCAGACCAAGGAUGGAUGCUGGAAACUUACACAAGAACUGGGAUUUAUAUUAAAACUUAACACAAAUAUUUUAAACAGCUUUCUUGAACAAAAAGGCAUUCGAUCUCUAGGUGUAAGAGGAAGAGAGCGCCUUCUAGACCUGAUCGCUACGUUUCUAGUGCUGCAGUUCCUUCGCACCAAGUUGGAACAGGAGGGAAUAAUCGUCAAAUCGCUGAUGAGACUGGACGAUGCUUCCAUUCCCAGGUGACUUUAACUCAUUUAUAUUUUCAGUCAUUUCUUUUUAUUAUAUUUGUUUAUCUAUUUGCCCUCAGCCUGUUUGUUUCAUCUUGUUUGUUUUCAUCAUGAGCAAAAGAAGCUGUAGCAAGUGUAUGUGUGUCGGCCAGGUUUUUAUUGUACUGUUUUGUGGAUCCAGUGUAAUAAUUACGGAGAGUAAUUCCUAAAUUAACAAUGAUGCCCCUUCUCCCCACAGAAUUAUCUUAAUCAUGAAAAGAAAUUGUUUAGGCUAUGGGGAAAUACAUUCCUAUUAGGUACCCUAGUCAGCAACCAAACUCUUUUAGUGGAUUUCUUGUAAUAAGCAAGACAUGGGUAGAGAGCAGGCCAGGAAGCAACUUUAGGUGCUCAUAAAUAGCA